rnacentral:rRNA from 1 species
CACGCCGUAAACGAUGGGUGCUAGGUGUAGGAGGUAUCGACCCCUUCUGUGCCGUAGCUAACGCAAUAAGCACCCCGCCUGGGGAGUACGGCCGCAAGGUUGAAACUCAAAGGAAUUGACGGGGGCCCGCACAAGCGGUGGAGCAUGUGGUUUAAUUCGACGCAACGCGAAGAACCUUACCAGGGCUUGACAUCCCCUGACCACGUAUGAAAGUACGUUUUUUAUCUUCGGAUAGACAGGGAGACAGGUGG